UACGGGAAGGCAGCAGUGGGGAAUAUUGCACAAUGGGCGAAAGCCUGAUGCAGCUAUGCCGCGUGUAUGAAGAAGGCCUUAGGGUUGUAAAGUACUUUCAUCGGGGAGGAAAAAACAAAACUAAUAAUUUUAUUUCUUGACGUUACCCGAAAAAGAAGCACCGGCUAACUCCGUGCCAGCAGCCGCGGUAAUACGGAGGGUGCUAGCGUUAAUCAGAAUUACUGGGCGUAAAGAGCACGUAGGUGGUUUUUUUAAGUCAGAUGUGAAAUCCCUGGGCUUAACCUGGAACUGCAUUUUGAAACUGAAAUACUAGAGUAUCGUAGAGGGAGGUAGAAUUCUAGGUGUAGCGGUUGAAAUGCGUAGAUAUCUGGAGGAAUACCUGUGGCGAAAGCGGCCUCCUAAACGAAUACUGACACUGAGGUGCGAAAGCGUGGGGAGCAAACAGGGAUUAGAUACCCGU
rnacentral:rRNA from 1 species